rnacentral:rRNA from 1 species
GACAGAGGGUGCAAACGUUGUUCGGAUUUACUGGGCGUAAAGCGCGUGUAGGCGGCCUUGCAAGUUGGAUGUGAAAGCCCACGGCUCAACCGUGGAAGCGCAUCCAAAACUGCAUCGCUCGAGUCUCGGAGAGGAAGGUGGAAUGCUUGGUGUAGAGGUGAAAUUCGUAGAUAUCAAGCAGAACACCUGCGGCGAAGGCGGCCUUCUGGACGAUGACUGACGCUGAGACGCGAAAGCGUGGGGAGCAAACAGG